AGGCACAAAAUGUUAGAAAGCCUUCACCAGUAGGGAUUUGGAACACACUUUUGUUUUAGCUUUUCAUAAAACUCUGGCAACCGCUUGAGAAGUUGCAGUGGAAGCAAAGCAUGAGAGAAAAUUUGGAUGUUUAUGAGAACUCAGAUGGAGCUGAGGAUGCCCACUCAACAAAUAAUGUGUUGGGUAUUUGAUCAGACAAUUAAGAAAACUUGGAACAGAACAUAAUGAGAGGUACCAGAGAAGGACUCCCAAAAGACAGAAAAACCCCAAAAGAAAAUGUGUGUCUUAAAAGGAUCAGCAAGAAAAUCAUUCAAUCACCAGCUCACUAAUAAAACAAAUACUUUUAUUAUUAUUCAUGAAGGAGCAAAAAUCCUGCUGAAAAUCUGCAGACCUUGCUCUGCAUCUCUUAGCAUGGAUCGAGAGGAUAUACGUGCUAUUUACAGGAAUUAAAAAUGGAAGGAUCAGGUUUCACUUUAUUUUUAUCCCUUACUUAUAAUUUAAAUGAUUGCACGUCUCAAAUAGACUUGCAUAGGCCUUAAAUAAUGUGUGAACUAUCCAUGCAAAUAAUUUGUCCAUUAAAUGCAAGUGUAUUUCCAAAUGAGGGAUAAAUUUCUUUUUAAAUAAUAGUUAUACUGAGUCUUCUUAAAUAGGAGAAGUGCAUAAACAUGGUUAAAACGCCAAUAAAAAUCAAAAAUGUAGAGAAGAAACAGGAUACAAUACUAUGACUUUGAACAAAGACUGAGUCAAAAUCUAACGUGGGAUUAAGAUACACAUUUUGUAACAGGCUUUCAGCCUGAGUCCUGAAGGUUUUGUCAUUUGUGCACAGCCAUGGCUUGGCAGAGAAUUGGGGAGAUAACUUAUGUGAAUAAAUACUAUUCCACAAGGGAAUAACUUGUUCAUAAAUUAGAUGCAAGGGAAAAAGGAAGCAAUCUUUCCCCUUUAAGUCAGGGAUAGAAACCAAUAUUUGACUUAGUUGUUAACGCGUUCUGCUGAAAGUUUCACAGUGAUGAUUAAUGAAGAGAAAAAUAGAAAUUUCAUGGUGCUGAUGAACACAGAAGAUAAUAGGCAUGAAGGUUUUUUGCAAAUUCUUAGAGGAGCAUCCCUCAUGUUACACUUUGACAAUAGUGGAUUUCACUCAGAUAUAAACUAGACUUGAAGUACAGACUUCCCAUCCAGCUCAUGAAGGGUAGGUCAUGAUCCAUAGGUGGGGAGAGCAACUAGAGGUGAUGGUUUGUGAGGGAUAAUUCUGAUAAAGAGCAGAAAAUUCCUCUCUCAGACUAAAAGGCAACUGAGGUGAGAAUGGUCAUUAAAUGCUGAAGUUUAUGAUCAUUAGGGAAGAAGAAAUGAAAAAACAGCCUGAGUUCCAAAUUUCAGAAAGGCAAACACCAUUAAACUCUGAGGAUUUCUUUAUAAUUUUCUCAGUGCUAAAAUUAGAAGGGAACAAGAAUAAUAGGUAAUUAUUACUAAGGGCAGGUGUUAAUUAUCCAGUUGUGGAGGGGCAUAGGAAGUAUAGUAUAAGAUCAUUUUGACAAAAAAAUUACCAAUCAUGUACUUGAGUUAUAAGGCAAAAACAAAAAGAAAGCCGACCUACCAGGUGUUAAUACAGAGUUAUAGCACAACUGCUUGGAAAGACAAGGAAUAGAAUGAGCUGCAAUUAAGAUAAAGCACACCAAAAAAAAGGUAAAGGGAAUGAUAAGAUAAUGAUUUUUGCUAAGAUAUUCUUCAUUAAAAAGAGCACUAUCAAGUGAGGUAGCAGAAUUUAGAUGUGGCAGGAAAGAAAGACCUCAUCUUCAAGUCUUUAAUUUACUUGAUUCAUCUGGUUCUGAUGACUUCAUCCCAUGAUAUACCUAAAGAUGGUUGGAUAAUUCUCUGCACUGCUAAAAAUUAUUUUUAGUUAUUGAAGGAGAAAUGUGGUAUUCAUCAACAUAAAACAUGCUUGUCUUAAAAAAUUAAAAGGAAGGGCCACAGAAUCAAAAUCCCUGGUAUCAACACUUCAGUUAACCUGAAAAAAAUGCCAGUCAUGAAACAAAACAAAACAAAACCAAAACCCUACCAAAACCCAAACAAACAAGCAAACCAGGAAACAAAUUGCAAUCAGUAGCAUUAAUUAAUCCACCAUCAGACUAGGUAAGUAUAGUCUAGAUUAAAUAAUUGGACAAUGAGUGGAAAGACAUCCCCUGAGAGGACUGUGAGUCAUUACCUGUAAGAAGGGAAGAUGCAUUGAGUGAAGUCCUACAGAGGUCUCAGCUGCAUUCAGAUAUCUUUAUUAUCAUCACUAGUGCUCAUAUUCUGAAGACAUGAUCACUUUGAGAAUAGAACCAGUUUUUGUGAAUCCUUGAAAUUUGGAGAUAAAGCUCUGGCAAGUCCCAGUGCAGGGACAAUGAGGUACUUCCUUUGAUCCAGAAAAAUUAUUGGACAAGACACAAAUUUGUCUGUUACACAGAAAAAGAGAAGGGAGACUUUUUAGAAGUGGAAAGCUGAAUAAAAAUUAAAAAUGUUAAGGAAAUACAAACACAACCCUAAGAUGGAACAUAUAAUUUGAGCCAGCAAAGAACAAAAGUAAUUACGCCUACUCUGUUCGGAGGUCUCCUUUGAUGAACUGAGUUCAGUCUGAGGCACUGUACUUCAAGAAAGAUGUUGACUAACUCGACAAAAUUCACAGGAGCAUAUUGAAAGAGUAAAGGAAAGACUUGUUCUCAAGAUCCAUAGGAUGGAACAUUGAGCAAGAAAGACUGAGUUAAAAAAAAUAAAAAUAAAUCCAGUGCUAAUUCUAGUGAAACUCUGGAAGGAAUUCCUUGAAGACAUAGAGAAAUCUUACUCUUAUUCUUCUCCUCUCAUCAUCCAUGUGUUUUUCUCAAAUACUUGCCAAGAAUGACAUAAAUACAGCUGCAGUGCCAGACAACAAUUUGAGAUCCCUCCAAGCCCUGUCUUUCCAUGUUUCUAGGUUCUCAUCCCUGGACACUUUCCUAUAAUGCACCUGUUAGAAAGCAGCAAAUGUUGUAUUACUUUCACUACUUUCUCCAUCUUUUGUACUGCAUGAGUGGAGUCAGGUUUCAAAAAAAAAAACGAAAAAAGAAAAUCCACCGCUGAAAUAUUUCAAAGUGUAUUUCAUAUUAAUUCUUUUCUUUAGCACUACAGACACCAUGUGGUGCUGCUGAUAACUACACAAACUCUCAUAGCAUUUUGCUGUUAGGAAUAUGUUAUGGCAAGAUUAGCACAGGUGUAUUUUAUGUACGUCCUUGUCACAAAGGGAAUUAUUCCAGCAAACAUGUAAGGCUGGAAAGAGAAUCAAAGGUAGGAAUAAUCGUGUUUGCCAGGAGAGUUAAGUACUGUUUGGAGUUACUUUGAGUUUCAUGGGUUACUUUGAGAUUCAUUAGUUACCUGGCCAGAGGCCCAGUCAGACCUUUCCUUUACAAAAUGCAUUGUAAAAGAAAUUUACAAUGAUAUUUUCUGCCUGACAUUUAAGCGCUAAAAUCAGCAGAGUUUCACAUGCAUAAUUUCCUUAAAUGUUUUGCAAAGAACAAAGUCACAGAGGAAGGCUAUGUAUUUUUACAACAAAGAGUAUUCUAUAAUAUUUAUUACUCCAAGUGCUUAGAACUCUGUCAUUACAAUUUGAUGCUGGAUAACAUCUAGAUCUUCAUAAUAUGACUUAAAAUCUGGAAUAACUCCCUUGAUUUGUGUUAAAUAAUUCAUAUGAGGUGAUAAACAAGAAAUUAUUCCAGUCUGCGAUAUCUGCUGUAACCAGUUCCCUAAUUAAAUCCCUGUGAUUUUCACUAGUCCAUUACCUGUGAGACUGAUGCUUUGUACUUUACU